AACCCUAGACAGGGGAUCACUUGGCUCAUGGGUCGAUGAAGACCGCAGCAAACUGCGCGUCGCCAUGUGAACUGCAGGACACAUGAUCAUUGACAUGUUGAACGCAUAUUGCGCCUUAUACAUUUGGUUCUCUUUAUAAU
rnacentral:rRNA from 1 species